rnacentral:rRNA from 1 species
AACGCUAGCUACAGGCUUAACACAUGCAAGUCGAGGGGCAGCAUAGUCUUAGCUUGCUAAGGCCGAUGGCGACCGGCGCACGGGUGAGUAACACGUAUCCAACCUGCCGUCUACUCUUGGACAGCCUUCUGAAAGGAAGAUUAAUACAAGAUGGCAUCAUGAGUCCGCAUGUUCACAUGAUUAAAGGUAUUCCGGUAGACGAUGGGGAUGCGUUCCAUUAGAUAGUAGGCGGGGUAACGGCCCACCUAGUCUUCGAUGGAUAGGGGUUCUGAGAGGAAGGUCCCCCACAUUGGAACUGAGACACGGUCCAAACUCCUACGGGAGGCAGCAGUGAGGAAUAUUGGUCAAUGGGCGAGAGCCUGAACCAGCCAAGUAGCGUGAAGGAUGACUGCCCUAUGGGUUGUAAACUUCUUUUAUAAAGGAAUAAAGUCGGGUAUGGAUACCCGUUUGCAUGUACUUUAUGAAUAAGGAUCGGCUAACUCCGUGCCAGCAGCCGCGGUAAUACGGAGGAUCCGAGCGUUAUCCGGAUUUAUUGGGUUUAAAGGGAGCGUAGAUGGAUGUUUAAGUCAGUUGUGAAAGUUUGCGGCUCAACCGUAAAAUUGCAGUUGAUACUGGAUAUCUUGAGUGCAGUUGAGGCAGGCGGAAUUCGUGGUGUAGCGGUGAAAUGCUUAGAUAUCACGAAGAACUCCGAUUGCGAAGGCAGCCUGCUAAGCUGCAACUGACAUUGAGGCUCGAAAGUGUGGGUAUCAAACAGGAUUAGAUACCCUGGUAGUCCACACGGUAAACGAUGAAUACUCGCUGUUUGCGAUAUACUGCAAGCGGCCAAGCGAAAGCGUUAAGUAUUCCACCUGGGGAGUACGCCGGCAACGGUGAAACUCAAAGGAAUUGACGGGGGCCCGCACAAGCGGAGGAACAUGUGGUUUAAUUCGAUGAUACGCGAGGAACCUUACCCGGGCUUAAAUUGCAGAUGAAUUACGGUGAAAGCCGUAAGCCGCAAGGCAUCUGUGAAGGUGCUGCAUGGUUGUCGUCAGCUCGUGCCGUGAGGUGUCGGCUUAAGUGCCAUAACGAGCGCAACCCUUGUUGUCAGUUACUAACAGGUUCCGCUGAGGACUCUGACAAGACUGCCAUCGUAAGAUGUGAGGAAGGUGGGGAUGACGUCAAAUCAGCACGGCCCUUACGUCCGGGGCUACACACGUGUUACAAUGGGGGGUACAGAGGGCCGCUACCACGCGAGUGGAUGCCAAUCCCCAAAACCUCUCUCAGUUCGGACUGGAGUCUGCAACCCGACUCCACGAAGCUGGAUUCGCUAGUAAUCGCGCAUCAGCCACGGCGCGGUGAAUACGUUCCCGGGCCUUGUACACACCGCCCGUCAAGCCAUGGGAGCCGGGGGUACCUGAAGUGCGUAACCGCGAGGAGCGCCCUAGGGUAAAACUGGUGACUGGGGC